rnacentral:rRNA from 1 species
AGAGUUUGAUCCUGGCUCAGAACGAACGCUGGCGGCAUGCCUAACACAUGCAAGUCGAACGAGACCUUCGGGUCUAGUGGCGCACGGGUGCGUAACGCGUGGGAAUCUGCCCUUGGGUACGGAAUAACAGUUAGAAAUGACUGCUAAUACCGUAUAAUGACUUCGGUCCAAAGAUUUAUCGCCCAGGGAUGAGCCCGCGUAGGAUUAGCUAGUUGGUGAGGUAAAGGCUCACCAAGGCGACGAUCCUUAGCUGGUCUGAGAGGAUGAUCAGCCACACUGGGACUGAGACACGGCCCAGACUCCUACGGGAGGCAGCAGUGGGGAAUAUUGGACAAUGGGCGCAAGCCUGAUCCAGCCAUGCCGCGUGAGUGAUGAAGGCCUUAGGGUUGUAAAGCUCUUUUGUCCGGGAAGAUAACGACUGUACCGGAAGAAUAAGCCCCGGCUAACUUCGUGCCAGCCGCCGCGGUAAUAC